UACGAAGGGGGCGAGCGUUGUUCGGAUUUACUGGGCGUAAAGGGCGCGCAGGCGGUCUUGAAAGUCAGGCGUGAAAGCCCCGGGCUUAACCUGGGAAUUGCGCUUGAUACUCUGAGACUGGAGUACGGUAGAGGAAGGUGGAAUUCCCGGUGUAGCAGUGAAAUGCGUAGAUAUCGGGAGGAACACCAGUGGCGAAGGCGGCCUUCUGGACCAGUACUGACGCUCAUGCACGAAAGCGUGGGGAGCAAACAGG
rnacentral:rRNA from 1 species